ACAUUCCUCAGCUCGGCUCUGCCUGCGCGCUGCUACCGGGAGGGAUACCUGGUUCUCAGAAGAGAAAAAAGAACUACAUAUCCCAGAGGACUUCAUCUUCAGAGAGGAAGAUAAGCCAUGGGAGGAAGUCAUGGGAUCUCUCUCGCUCGCUUUCUUGCUGCCUGGCAGUGUGUUGGUGUGCUCCCCAGUCAUGUCCCUUCACUUCAAACCUUGCCCAUCUGUGUCUCUUAGACAAAGAAUUUUGCGACUCCUGCCCAGGCCUUGUCCGUCUGUGUUCUCCAGACAAAGGAUUUCUCAACCCUUGAUCAGGACUUGCUUGGACUUGUUCAUCGGUGUCCCUCAGCAGGCUUUGAAACAACAAUGCAAAAUAACCUCUUGCAGUGCUUUAAAACAUACUAGUAGAUUCCUAUGCAUGAUAAUGUCAUUCAGUUAGGAGGCUGAUUCUUUGUACAUGGCCAUUGAUUUAAUAAUGAAAUAAUCAAACAUAAACAAGUAUUGCAGUAUUUCAGUAAGCUGCUUGUGUUUCUAAAUACACAUUAAAACAAAUGAAUAUAUUUUGAGCACUGUGAUUGUUUAAAGCAAAUGAUCUAAGGGCUGGUAAUUAGCAAAAGUAGCAUAUUCAACCAUUGAAUUUCCUUCUGUCAUCUUCAAGGAACAGUUAUUAAUGCACAAUUUAAAUCACACUCAAAAUAUACAGAUUGAUCACUAGAGAAAUUGCUAUCAUCAAUUUAGAAAUUAGUCUAUGUAGCUGUUCUAUCUAUGUAACCGUUAAAAAGAAGUUAUCAAUAUUUUCAAUUAAUAACAUUAAUAUAUACUUACAAUAAACAGAUUAUUGCACAUACUUCCAAAUUCUUGGCAUCGCAUCAGACACUCAAGAAAAUUGGGCCUUGAUAUUUUCUCUUGUGAGCAGAAAAUAAACCUCUGUGUUAAGGACUUUGACAAGAAGCUAACAUACAACUACUUUAAGAGUAGGAUAGUAAUUUUCAAAAGAAGUUGACACGCUAUGUAAAAGCCUGUUAUAAAAUUCUAGGUUAAUUUUUACAUUCAACAUUAAAGUUCCUUCAAACAGAUUUCAGAUAGCUAUUUGAAUAUCAUCUAUAUUUUUAAGAUAUAAGAGCUGAAAUGUAGUCAGAAGCAACCAACUAAUUAUGCCUAUAAGGAAAAUGUAUUUUAUUAUUUAUAAUAAAGAAGCUGCAUUUUGUUCAACAUUGCAAUUUUAAGUUUUGUUGUAGUAAUGAUAGAUAGUUCAUGAAUGAAUAUCUAUGCAGAAUGCUGAGAUUUCUGAAUUAUUCUACUGUGUAAUUUUAAAACUUCCCUUGUUCUUUCUAGACAUCCAGUUUUAUAUUUAAUUUGUAACAAAAUUAACUGAAACAAUGUGAUACACUUAUGACAAUAAAAUACCUACCCAAAAUAAAUAUUUUAUACAAGAAAUGACAUUAUUUUGGAAUAAAAAAGGAUGAUGUUGAGAACU
ensembl:lncRNA